rnacentral:lncRNA from 1 species
AUACACUUCAUGCUCUCCAAAGGAGGAAGCCUACAUCUCAUCUGCAGGUGACUUACUGUCUGUUUCUAUGUCUGUCCCAACCAUGUAGAGUGUUGUUAGACUGAUUUUAUAUUUUCCAAUCUAAGGGAUGAGUUGAAACUGAGUCUACAAAAUGUGCAUGUGUGUGUUUGUGUGUCUCUGUGUUUGUUUGUUUGCUUUUGUUUUGGGAUGUGGAGACUGGUAAACAAGUAAAUAGAGAAAUUUUUUUCAACAGGUGCGAAGAUGCAGUGAAUGUCUCAGCCAAGUAGAUAAUGAGCCUCUGUUUACACCUGUUGUUUGGACUGAGCCAAGGACCUUAGAUAAUAUUAUUUGGGGACAGGACCACCUCCAGCUAUUCCUGCUCCAGUGUUUCCUUGUUGUUUGCAGGAAGAAGACCCAAGAGCUAUCCAAUUGCUGCCCCCUGCACAGGCUCUUUCUGAAUGUCUUUAGAGAGGAAGCUGAUCCUGGGAAGGAGAAGAGAGCCCCUGGCUGCUCCAGGGGGAGAAAAGGGACCCUGGAUAUGAUGAUGUUAAACUCAGUGCCCCUGGAACUUCCAGAGUGACUUUCUUGUGAUUUGUAUUAAAUACAAGAUGAUGCCUCAGAUAUUCUAAUUGUCUGUAUUCAAUAGAGUAGUGCUGACUUGUGAUUGUGUUAUAUGGAAAUUGCUCAAAGUGAAAUAUUCUGAAUAAAGUAGCUUUUUUUGCUUUGUUAAUUAUUACCAAGUUCCAUGUCAAAUGCUUUUAGAGGAUUGGUCUGUAAACACCAUUUUCCUCAAAGGAAAUACAGGAUAAGUGCACUGCCCUGAUUUCUCACCUCCUUCAAAGGCUAGUAAGGGCAUGAAUUUGCCCAGGAUCACAGAUGCUCCAGGUCACUCUUGCUUAGAAAAAGCAUCUAAACUUGGUCCACAUUCACACCCUC